rnacentral:rRNA from 1 species
UACGUAGGGGGCAAGCGUUGUCCGGAUUUAUUGGGCGUAAAGAGCGUGUAGGCGGCCAUACAGGUCCGUUGUGAAGACUCGAGGCUCAACCUCGAGACGUCGAUGGAAACCGUAUGGCUAGAGUCCGGAAGAGGAGAGUGGAAUUCCUGGUGUAGCGGUGAAAUGCGCAGAUAUCAGGAAGAACACCCGUGGCGAAGGCGGCUCGCUGGGACGGUAUUGACGCUAAGGCGCGAAAGCGUGGGGAGCAAACAGG